UGCUAUAACUGUGGUGAAACUGGUCACUAUAUUAAGGAUUGUCCUCACCCUAAGAAAAAACAAGAUGUAGAGCAUGCUAAUGUAAUUGGUAAUGAAACCAAUAGUGAUGUGUUCUAAGGUGGAGCUCUUUCUUAAUGCCUUAGUGUUGUUCUUUGUGAUUGUUUAGGCUUUGUGGCUUUUGUGAGACUUCGUUGGUUAGUGCCUUAAUGUCUAUGUGAGUCUUUGUGGCUUAGUGUCUUUGUGAUUGAUUGUAGCUUUGUGUACUAUGUGGCUUUGUGAGUUUUACUUUGUGAUGACCGUUUGUGUCGCAUGUUAUCUUCGUGAUCAUGUGUACUUUGUGAUCUGUGCUAGCUCUUUG
rnacentral:lncRNA from 1 species